rnacentral:rRNA from 1 species
UGAACGCUGGCGGNAGGCCUAACACAUGCAAGUCGAACGGCAGCACAAAGGAGCUUGCUCCUUGGGUGGCGAGUGGCGGACGGGUGAGGAAUACAUCGGAAUCUACUCUGUCGNGGGGGAUAACNNNNGGAAACUUACGCUAAUACCGCAUACNACCUACGGNUGAAAGNNGGGGAUCUUCGGACCUUGCGCGAUUGAAUGAGCCGAUGUCGGAUUAGCUAGUUGGCGGGGUAAAGGCCCACCAAGGCGACGAUCCGUAGCUGGUCUGAGAGGAUGAUCAGCCACACUGGAACUGAGACACGGUCCAGACUCCUACGGGAGGCAGCAGUGGGGAAUAUUGGACAAUGGGCGCAAGCCUGAUCCAGCCAUACCGCGUGGGUGAAGAAGGCCUUCGGGUUGUAAAGCCCUUUUGUUGGGAAAGAAAUCCAUCUGGCUAAUACCCGGUUGGGAUGACGGUACCCAAAGAAUAAGCACCGGCUAACUUCGUGCCAGCAGCCGCGGUAAUACGAAGGGUGCAAGCGUUACUCGGAAUUACUGGGCGUAAAGCGUGCGUAGGUGGUCGUUAAGUCCGAUGUGAAAGCCCUGGGCUCAACCUGGGAACUGCAUCUG